AAAGCCUACGGGGCGCAGCAGUGGGGAAUAUUGGUCAAUGGGCGGGAGCCUGAACCAGCCAAGCCGCGUGAGGGAAGAAGGUACAGCGUAUCGUAAACCUCUUUUGUCAGGGAACAAAGGCGGGGACUAGUCCCCGGAUGAGGGUACCUGAAGAAAAAGCAUCGGCUAACUCCGUGCCAGCAGCCGAGGAAAUACGGAGGAUGCGAGUGUUAUCCGGAUUUAUUGGGUUUAAAGGGUGCGCAGG
rnacentral:rRNA from 1 species